rnacentral:lncRNA from 1 species
AUUGUCGCCAGGGGCCCACAUAUAGGGUCCGGGACAUUAAAGUCCUUGGAUUGCCACAGUGCGUAUGGAAGUUAUGUUACGUUAUGACAAUAUGUGUUACCAUUUUAUUAACAUGGACAAUUAUUGCAUGUUCCCACACUGAGUGUACCCUGUAUGCUCAUCCCAUAUCCAACAGUUUCAGGUGAUUGAUAUCGGAGGCGCGUGGAGAGUCGAAUGGGCGCGUCGAAUCUAUUUAAAGAUAAAUGUUUCCUAAAACAUAUUAUAUUAUUUCAUGUGAUAUCUCUUGAUUAUGUAAACUCUGAAAUUCUAUACUAUUUGAGAUUUGUGUGUGAUUUGUUUAAAUAAAUGUUAUUAUAUUAUUUUAAUGUCAUGACUUGUUUAAUUUAUAUUUAAAUUCAUUUCAAAUAUUUAUUUAAGAAUUUAUAUCUUUACGAAAAUAUAUACAUGGAUACAUACAUAAUUUUUAAUCAUAUAAAGAUUUUAUUUUGUUAUAUUUUCCGCUGCUAAAAAGAUAUUAUUUUAUACUUAGAGUUUUUCCUUAGUAAAAGUUUUAUUAAUUAGUUAAUUAUUUUUCUGACAUCUUCAUGUCGUGCUUUGAAAAUAAAGUUGUAAAAUUUAUGAUUUAAAAAUCAAGAUUUAUAUUUGAAUACAUUAUUGAAAAUUUUGAUAUCUUAUAAAUCGUUUUAAAAGUGCUUUAAAAACCAAUUUUAUUUAAAGAUUUCUUUUUCUUAAAAUUAUUUUCGAAAAUAUUUAUUUUAAAAGUGAGUUUUAAAUUAUUUUAAGACUUCCGCAUUAAAUAUUUAUUUAAAUUUUAUAUUUAACUCCUUAAUUAGAUUAGGGUGUUACAGCAUGGUAUCAGAGCAGGUCUACUUUCCUGUAGACUCUGCAAAAUAAAAAUUUUCUUACUCUGCAAAAUAAAAAUUUUCUAAAAUGUUUUUAAGUCAAGUAUGACAAAUCCAUUCGACCUCUACGUGCUCCGACAUCAAGGUAAAAGUUAUUUUAAAAGUUUUCAAGGGGGAUGAGUAUAAACUGUUUAUAUUCCGAAUUUAUGUUAAAUUUGCUGCAAUAAUUGAAGUUGUUAUCAGAAAGUUCAAGUUCAUUAUGCAAGUUAAUAUGAAAGUUCAGUAUACAAGUUAUUAUGUUGAAGAUUAUUGCAGCUAUGAGUAAAGAUAUUUCAAAUAUUUUUCAAGAGGAUGAGUAUAAAUUAUUUACGUUGAAAGUAUAGUGAAUUUGCUACAAUGAUUGAAGUUAUUAUGAGAAAAUGUUCAAGUUCAGUAUUCAAGUUAUUAUGUUGAAGAUUAUUGCAACUAUGAAUUGUCAAAUUUCGAGGACGAAAUUCUUUUAAGUGGGUAGGUUUGUCACAGCCCAAAACCAUUUACUACCUUUGCAAAUUUUAUUUGAAAAUUUAUUGUAUUUUCGAGAUAUUAAAAAUAUAAAUCUAUGAGUCGAGUUUGUGAUGAAUUAUCUAGUCGCGCCCCUAGCUAGAUGUAUGACUCUAAAUUCUAGGUUAUACCUAUAGAAAUAAAGUUUUAUAUUCCAAAAAUAUUUUUAUAUAAAUUUGGGCCUAAAUAAAUUUAUUUACUUAAAUAUAUUUAUCAUGGACAUUAUAUUAAUUUUGGAUUAAGAAUAAAAUAUUUUCAUAAAUUUUAUUAGUGUUGGACUUAUUAUUAUUAAUGGGCAAAAUUCUUUUGCAAUAAUCUUAAAACAAUUAUUCAAGUUUCAACAUUUAUAGUUAAUUAAUGAUUUCAAGGAUUUGGAUACCUUAUUUUCGUAUCUGCAAAUUAACAAUUUCUACUCUAUUUAUUUACAUUUGUUUAAAGAAGUCUCCAAGCCAGCCAUUCCUAUUUUCAUUCUUAUCAGAUAUCUAACCGCCCUAAUUAGAUAAAUGACUUUGAACUAUAGAUUAUAUUUAUAAAAGAUACAAAUUUAUAUUAUCAAAUAUUUUUAAUAAAUAUGUUGGGCCAUAGUUUUAUUCUUUUCUAUGAUAAUUGGGUUAAAAUUUUAUUAUUUGAAAGCACAUUUAUCAUCUUUAAAGCCCAAUUAUUAUUAUAAGUCCAUAUGUCUUUCUUUAAUUAAAAUGAGAUGUUACGUGGUUCAGUUUUUCCUUAGCCACAUAUUCUGAUUUAAUCACCUUCAGCCACCUAAUUUUAUUCAGCCGCGUAUCACUCACUGCCAUCACAUUUAAAAUUCACCCAAAUAACUUGCUAGGUUUCAUUUCAUCAAAAUUUUCCAGAGCACAAAUUUCAUUCAAGUUAACAGACUUCUCAUUUCUGAUAUUUCCUUCACAAAACUUCAGCUGGUAAUUUUAUUGUUUCGGUGAGAUUUCAUGUUUUAAUUCAUCACAGCAAAUUACUACGUUUUUCUUUCAUUCUCAUUUAUUUAUUUUGUGAAACAACACAAGCCCAUUUAUUUAUCAUACAUUAUAAGCCCAUAUAUAUAUAUAUAUUAUUAAUGUGUAAAUAAAUUUUUAUGAAAAUGACUUCAGCUACAUAUCCACAUUUACUCAGCUUCAGCCAUAUAUCACUGUAGUACCUUUCCGUCAGAUUUGAUCAAAACUACAGCAAAACUUUGAUUUCAAAACUUUGAUUUCAAACAUCAGCAUGCCAAACUUGAAUUAAAUUUCCUUUCCGUAAGAUUUGAUUUUCUUCCACAAGCAGCAAAUUUUUGAUUUCUUUCACAUUCAAAUGAACGAGUAUAUUCAAUCUAUUUAAACCUCAAUUCCUCACCCCUAACUCACCUCUUCAUCUGUUCAUUUAACUAAAAUCUGCAGAUUCUUCCUACGAAUUCCAGCUGGUAAAUUUUAAUUAUUUUUGCAAAGUUUCUUUUUCAUUCAUGGUUUCUCAUUUCUGCCAAAAAUCAAAACUUUACAACAGAAUUUUGUUUUCAAAAUCCAAAUAUGCAUACAUCCAUUUUUCUGUAAUUUCCAUGAGGUAAUAAAAUAGAUCAGAGUUAUUAUUAAUUACAAAGAAAAGGAAUAGAAGAAGGAACUGGAAAUGGGUUUAGUGGCCUGGAACAGGGGGUGCGAUUGAACAGCGCCGCCGGCGCUGCGCGCCACGGCGGCUGGCAGGAGGAGACAGGGACGGUGGUGCAGUGGUCUUGGCCGCUGCUAUGCUGGGACAGAGGGAGAAGGCGCUUGGGCUGUGCUGCUGUCAACGCGGGGGCGGCGAUGGUGGUGCUGCUGUCGGCCAGGUGAGAAAAGGAAGGUGAGGGCGACGUCGGGCAGGAAUAGGUGGCGACGAAGGGUCGCCGGAGAAGAGGGGCGCAGCUGCGGCUGGUGCGGCGAGGACAAGGGCAGGGGAGGAGGCGGGAGAUGAGGGAGGGAAGUCGACGGAGAGGGAGAACUGAGGGAAGACAGAGAGAGGUCGAAGGGAAGGAGAGAGGAGGCAGAGCCGCCGGCCUCCGGCGGCGGCGUGCCGUCUGGUGGCGGCGGCAGGAGGCCGAGAAGAGGAGAGGGAGAGAGAGAGAAAGGGAGGCUGGGGGUUGGUGUGUGUGAGCUGCGUGAGAUGAUGUGUGUGGAGGGAGUGUUUAAAUUAGGGUGAAGGGAAAGAAUGGGCUUGGGCCUAGGAUAGUUUGUUUUUUUUUUUUUAAAUGGGCUCAGAUUUAUUAAAUGAUUGGGCUAUAAUUUGAUUAAUUAUUGCACUAAUUUAUUUUAUCAAAAGGCUUGCAUUUGCAUAUUAUUUUACAAAGAAUGUCAUAUUUGGACUUCAUAUUUUAAUUUUCAUUAUUAAGUUGGACUUGAUUUUAUUAAAUUUCAACUCAAAUUUUAAAGAAGCAUGCAUUUUAUUAUUUGAUUCAUUAGACCAACUAUUUCCAAAAUGAUUUUAUGAUAAUAAAUUCUUAAGAUUUAAACUACUAUUAUUAUUAUUAUUAUUAUUAUUUUAAAGUUUAAUUAGGCCCUUACGUUAUAUUAUUUGAAUUUAUCUGACUAGGUGCGGCGCGACUAGGACAUGGUUUUUAAUUUGAAUUAUCAGAAUUAGCUUUCAAGUUGAAGUUCAAGUUCAAGUUUAAAAUUCAGGUGUGGGAUUUAUUUCAGUACAUGCACGUGGUUAAUAUUUGUCCAUUUUAAUAUUAUGUGUUUACCGUAUGUGUUGUAAAAAUAUUUAUCGCUAGGGGCCAGCAUAAUUGGUCCAGGACUUCACCGUCCUUGGUAUGCCACAAUGCGAUUUCAUGUUACAGGGUUGCAACCAUUAUAUUGUCGCCAGGGAUCCAUAUAUAGGGUCCGGGACAUUAAAGUCCUUGGAGUUGCCACAGUGCGUAUGGAAGUUAUGUUACGUUAUGACAAUAUGUGUUACCAUUUUAUUAACAUGGACAAUUAUUGCAUGUUCCCACACUGAGUGUACCCUGUAUGCUCAUCCCAUAUUCAACAGUUUCAGGUGAUUGAUAUCGGAGGCGCGUGGAGAGUCGAAUGGGCGCGUCACAUCUAUUUAAAAAUAAAUGUUUCUUAAAACAUAUUGUGUUAUUUCAUGUGAUAUUUUUGGUUAUGUAAACUCUGAAAUUCUAUAUUAUUUGAGAUUUGUGUGU